rnacentral:antisense_RNA from 1 species
UGCCAGGUCCCGUCGGUGGUGAGCGGCGCGUCGCCGAGGUGGUCGCCCCCGGCCAGCGCCUCCAGCACCGCGCUCUCGCCGUACUUGCCGGUGCCGAUGCGGUCCACCCGGCCGUGUGCGAUCAGCACCAGCCGGUCCUGCGCGUCCCCGGCCUCGGCGAUCAGCUCGCCGGGCCCGUACUCGUGCUGGGUGAACCGCCGGCCGAGCGCCGCCAGUACCUCGGUGUCGGUGAAUUCCCGCAGGGCGGGCAGCUCGCGCAGCUCCUCGGGGAUGAUCGAGACGUCGGAGCCGUUGAUGUCGAAGUCGAUACGCCCGUCCCCGAGCGUGUAGGUCAGCCGGCGGUUCACGCGAUAGGUGCCACCGGACACCUGCACCCAGGGGAGCAGCCGCAGCAGCCAGCGGGAAGUGAUCCCCUGCAUCUGCGGCGGUGUUUUGGUGGUGGUCGCCAGAUUCCGGGCGGCGGAGGUGGUCAGACUGGAAUUCUGGGAAUCUUCCG